rnacentral:rRNA from 1 species
GAUGAACGCUGGCGGCGUGCCUAAUACAUGCAAGUCGAGCGAACAGAUGAGGAGCUUGCUCCUCUGACGUUAGCGGCGGACGGGUGAGUAACACGUGGAUAACCUACCUAUAAGACUGGGAUAACUUCGGGAAACCGGAGCUAAUACCGGAUAAUAUAUUGAACCGCAUGGUUCAAUAGUGAAAGACGGUUUUGCUGUCACUUAUAGAUGGAUCCGCGCCGCAUUAGCUAGUUGGUAAGGUAACGGCUUACCAAGGCAACGAUGCGUAGCCGACCUGAGAGGGUGAUCAGCCACACUGGAACUGAGACACGGUCCAGACUCCUACGGGAGGCAGCAGUAGGGAAUCUUGCGCAAUGGGCGAAAGCUUGACGGAGCAACGCCGCGUGAGUGAUGAAGGUCUUCGGAUCGUAAAACUCUGUUAUUAGGGAAGAACAAAUGUGUAAGUAACUAUGCACGUCUUGACGGUACCUAAUCAGAAAGCCACGGCUAACUACGUG